rnacentral:rRNA from 1 species
UACGUAGGGGGCGAGCGUUGUCCGGAAUUAUUGGGCGUAAAGCGCACGUAGGUGGUUCGUUAUGUCGGAUGUGAAAGCCCUCGGCUCAACUGAGGAAGUGCAUCCGAAACUGGCGAGCUAGAGUAUGUAAGAGGGUCGCGGAAUUCCCGGUGUAGAGGUGAAAUUCGUAGAUAUCGGGAGGAACACCGGUGGCGAAGGCGGCGACCUGGGACAAUACUGACACUGAGGUGCGAAAGCGUGGGGAGCAAACAGG